UGGGGAAUUUUGGACAAUGGGCGCAAGCCUGAUCCAGCCAUGCCGCGUGCGGGAAGAAGGCCUUCGGGUUGUAAACCGCUUUUGUCAGGGAAGAAAUCUUCUGAGUUAAUACCUCGGGAGGAUGACGGUACCUGAAGAAUAAGCACCGGCUAACUACGUGCCAGCAGCCGCGGUAAUACGUAGGGUGCAAGCGUUAAUCGGAAUUACUGGGCGUAAAGCGUGCGCAGGCGGUUUUGUAAGACAGAGGUGAAAUCCCCGGGCUCAACCUGGGAACUGCCUUUGUGACUGCAAGGCUUGAGUGCGGCAGAGGGGGAUGGAAUUCCGCGUGUAGCAGUGAAAUGCGUAGAUAUGCGGAGGAACACCGAUGGCGAAGGCAAUCCCCUGGGCCUGCACUGACGCUCAUGCACGAAAGCGUGGGGAGCAAACAGGAUUAGAUACCCUGGUAGUCCACGCCCUAAACGAUGUCAACUGGUUGUUGGGAAGGUUCCUUCUCAGUAACGUAGCUAACGCGUGAAGUUGACCGCCUGGGGAGUACGGCCGCAAGGUUGAAACUUAAAUGAAUUGACGGGGUCAUAGC
rnacentral:rRNA from 1 species